rnacentral:tRNA from 1 species
GAGGGUGUAGCUCAGUAGUAGAGCAUGUGUUUAGCACACACAAGGUCCUGGGUUCAAUCCCCAGCACCUCCA